rnacentral:lncRNA from 1 species
CCUGACUUCGGUACCCCUCCUCCCCAGAGGGGCCCGAAGAAGUGUCCUCCUCUGCUCCAUAGUCCACGAGGUUCAAGUCCGAGGCCUGGAAAAGUGGAGAUAGUUGCUAGUUCCCUUUCCCGCGACCAGGUCGCAGGAGAGGGGCGCGGGCUGCCAGCGUGUUCGUGUCCCCAGAGUGACGGGGCUUGGCCCGCUGCGACGUCUGCUCCGAGUCGCGCCAGCGGGAGCGGUGCAGAGUCUGGGACGACGCGAGACGCCAUUUGCAUCCCCCCUCCCUCCUGCAGGUUGCCGGGGGCCGGGGUGUCGCCCGCCGCGGAAGCGUAUUCCUGGCAGUGACACUGAUUAGAUGCUGUGUCGGUACGUGCACAGAAUCGGGUGGGCCUUCACCUCUCCUGUGCGCAUACACUUUCUGUUGGGAAAGUUGCGGGUUCUUCCACCCCACCCCCCUCGCUUCACAGCUGCUGUCUCCAGGGCGGAAUUAGGCGAGCACGUUUGCUCAGCCCGAGGGAGAGAGGAUCGCGCCGGCGCGGGGAGGCCGCCGGGCCCGGGCCGCGGAAAUCCAGCCCUGGCUUUUCGUCGAGCUGCCGAGUGCGGCGCUUACGCGCGCCCGGCCAGCCAAGGCCUGGUUUCCAUCUGCCCCUUUUGCCUCGGUGUUAAGUUCGCCGGGGAAAACCCAAUGAUCCGUGCAGAGCCCCUUGGAGGAGAACCCCCCCACACCACCCGCUUCUGACCGAUGGAAAAAAUGACAGUAUAGGUCAGAGCAGGCUGCCCGCGAGUAUUAAUGCGGCCGCCUCCGUUCCCGGUGCUUGGGGAGGAUGGGCGCCUCGCCAGGAAACCGCCGAAAGGAGGAGCCACGAGGGCCGCCUGCCCCUUCCCGGUCUAGAAAACGUGGAUUCUUAGAGAGACCAGACAGAUGUGGGCAGACAGCUGCGGGAACUUAGCCCAUCUAAAUACAGGUUGUCCAUGUAUCUUUCAAGCAAGAUUAAUCUUUAAAAAAAAAAAAAUCAAGUACACGUUGAGUCAGUUAUAAAUACUGUGAGAACUGGCUGAUCCGUAAAUGAAACCCCCGCUGUCUGCUUGAUAUUAAACGUGUGUGAGGAGGUGCUGGGCUGAGCAUGAUGUAUCUUGGCAGUGCCCGUGUGUGUCCUAAGAAGGCGCGGUCCCCUCUGCACUCCACCUUCGAGGACUUCUACUAUAAUUCUAAACGGAGAUUUAUUUUAGUUGUAGUUUCUAUUUGGGGGAUUUCUUGCUCCUUACAAACUCCUGCCGGGGGUUGUUUGCACUUCAUAGUGGAUGGUCCUGGGUUUUAGCUUUUAUAAGCCCACGUUUUUCUCUUCCUUUUUCUUUUUCUGCGUACGUGCAGCUGGGUGCGGAGAGGGCCCCCCCCCAACCCCGUCUGCCAUCGCCGCCCUCGGGCUCUUACCCGCGCACCACGCCGCCUCCCAGGAGGGGAAAUGUGAACGCUCCGGGUGGCGCUCGAGAACUGGAAUUCUGACUUCGGGCUCCGGGUUUGUUCCGGAGGCUGGCCGGGGCAGCGGCUUGGGAGCCGCAGGCUGUGAAGGGGAAGCCCCCGGAGGCGCCCGCGUCUUUGUCUUUUCGCGGGGCUGGCAGCUUGGCACGCACAGUUCCGAUAAGGAUCAACUCUAAGAGCGAGAGCGCACGGCCAGCACUUUUCAGCGAUGAGGCGAGGCGAACGCCGGCCGCCACGUAAGGGAAAGGCCAUUUGCGUUGUCUUUGAAAAGGAAAAGGCUGUCCCACCUAAUGAAGUAUGAGUGACCUGGGAGCGGCCAGGCAGGGAGUGAGUGGCUCCGAGGCUGCCUCCAGGCCCUUCUUUGCCCCCCCUCCUACCCAUAACCUAGGAGACCCCAUUUCGAGCUUUUUGAAAUUAUAAAUCUGAUUCUAUUUAGCCUUUAAAUGCACCAUAAAUAGUGGUGCAUUUGGGUGUCCCUAAAAUGAGACCCACCAGCAGCCCAGGGACUGGGGCCUGCCGCAUGCCAGCCCUGGACCAGUGUUAACUUACACUGGCUAACUUACAUCCCCAGAGGAUGUGGCUUUUGCCCGGUGCCUCCAAGAACUGAUUUAUAGGAGGUGGCCUUGAGCCAUCAGAAAGGGUGGCCUGGAAGAGUCUACUGGAUGGCCUCUAAACCGGUGCUGUUCACCCAAAGCCUCAGGGAGAGGGUGGGUAAUGGUGCCUGAGCCCUGGUAGGAGCUUCCCAUUAAUCCAGUCUAAAUGAGCACCAUUAAAGCACAGUUCCCCCUUCCACCCCCACCACACGCACAGGCCUUAAGGGAAAGUCUAGUCGAAAACAUUCAAGCCCAUUUUGCCUUCUUAACUUUUUCUGUGAACCGAAUGCCCUUUCCACCCUGCCCAAAUCCUCUAUAGGCCUUCAGCAACUUCAUCCUGAUAGGAGGGUACCAAAUCCUAACAACAAACACUGUAGCACUGUAUGCCUGGCAGACUUCUAGGCACUUUAUUAACUCCUAACAUUCUCAAAACAAUCCUGUGGGAGUUCCCCGUUGUGUCUCAGCCCUACGAACCCAGCUAGUAUCCAUAAGGGUGUGGGUUCGAUCCCUGGCCCUGCUCUGGGGGUUAAGGAUUCUGCAUUGCUAUUGGCUGUGGUGUAGGCCAACGGCUGCAGGUCUGAUAGGAGCCCUAGCCUGCACCCCUGUACCGUGGGUGUGGCCCUAAAAAGACAAAAAAAAAAAAAAAUCAAAACAACCCUGUGAGCUAGACACUAUUCUUGGCAUGUUUUACAGAUGAGGACGCUGAGGCCAGAACUGUGAAGUGGCUUGGCGGCACAGUUUGGGCCAGGACCAGGAUUGCAGCCACGGGAGGGAGGGAGGAAGGGAGGGCUGCGCUGCCUCUCCAGUGUUGUGUAGGGAAGGCGAGCUGUUUGGGGGGUGUUGGACCCCCACCUUCCAAAACGUUAUGGGAAAAGAUGAGAAACCCAACAUUUAGCCCUUAUUUUGCAAAGGAAAGUUCCGGAGCGUCGUACAGAAGCACGUUAUUGUGGCUCCGCGGCCGCGAAGGGGCCAGGGAAGGCAGUGCAAAGGCCUCCCGCCCCACCUCGCCACAUAGCAUCCGGUGGUCACGUCCGCCGGAGGUGACUGGGGCCUGGGGACAGCCGAUUGCGGAGGAACUCCUUAUCGUCGAGAGUCAGUGGUCCCAAGAAGCGACGCUAAAACGACCGCCUGCCGGGGUGGCUGGGUCAAGCCGGGUGCCUAGGCUCCGGGCGCGCCCCCGGCCUCCUCCCACGGAGGAGCUGCGCCUCCUGCAGCUCCGGGCUCCCCUCCACUCGGGCUGCCAGCCCUGGGCACGGAACCUCACGGCCGGGGGCUGGAGAGGCCAGAUAAGCAAGUCCUGAUUGGGAGGGCUGGUUCCGGGUUGUUCGCACUCACCCUGCUGCUUCCCUCAAACACUCAUCCCUUCUCCCCCCGCCCCCCGCGCGCGCGCGCACACACACACGCACACGCACAUACACAGAGGGUCUCAAGCGCGCAGCCAGCUUCCCGGGCCUCUGUCUCCCCUUCCUCCUCAGUCUCCCCUUCCUCCUCCCAGGCUCUGGUGCCUGGGAACCCGUGGCGGUCGUGUGCUGCCCCUGGGAAGUGUCGAGGUGGAACGGCUGCGCGUUGUUCUGCUUCUCCCCAGGGUCCAGGCAUACGGUGGUGCCCUGGGGCGUGCAGCCAGGAUCCAAGGAUCCCCCACUGCCCCCCUCCCCGGGAGGUGGUGGCAGCAGGCGGGAGAGACCUGUGAGCUAGGUGUUUCAUGAUGGCCUGGGGGUCAGAGGGGAGGACCGGAGAGUGGGGCCUAUGCCUAGAUGGGAGUGGCGAUAAAUCCCCUGUGCACGAAGGCCGGCUGGUUCUCCGGCCACCCCGCUGGUAGGAGUCUAUCCUGCAUGUCUUGUAUUGGCUGAAGCUUGACAGCGGGAGUGCCCGGGCCAGAGUGUGGCUGGGGGGGGGGGGGGGGUGGGCNGGAGUUGGUCCGAGGCGGCGCUGGACGAUCAGCUCCCCAUCUCACCUCCUCCAGCCUUUACUUCUCACUCGAGAAGACCCAUGGGCCCCGCUGCCCUCGCCACCGCCAAGGCCCGCAGAGGGCCAGGCUGGCCUGGUGGCAGCCCGCGAGCCCAGCCUGGCCGCUGAGCUGAGGGAGGGAGCGCAGCAGCCGGCUUGCCUCAAGGCAGAACACACGCCUUUCCCGGAACCUUGAAACCCAGGGGAGCCGCUGCCAUCUUCGCGUGACGAGCAGCGAGACGCCGGUGAUUAAGUGUUUCUUUCCGGCUCCCUCCCCGGGUUAUGGCUCUCCUCCUUUCCACAGGGCUGGAGGAAUAAAACCUGGGGUGGGGGGAGCACACCACAGUGCUUUCCAAGCUCCUUGGAUGCCCGAACUGGUCUCCCAGGGUGCCUCUAUGCAGACUGCCCUCCAGCCCCAAACACCCUGCCUCGAGAAGAUCGAGGCUUUGGGGGACUCCCCCCCAUGCCUCAGUUUCCAUCCACCUCGGUCCAGAUCUCAGAGUUUAAUGGGGGGAGCACACAUUGCCAAAGCCAGCUGACCCCCGUCUCCUCGCCCGUGAGGAUUAACCCUUAAUACAGGAAUCCCCCACCCACACCAGGGACUAAUCCUGCCGCCCCUCCUGGGAUUAACUGGGCUCACAGGUCCAUAAAACACUUCCGGCGCAGCCAGAGGGUCUGUCUGCAGAAACACUUUAAAAUUGUCCUCCCGGGCCUAGAGUGGAGGGAAGUGAGUAAACAGACAGUUGUUGGAGAGGAUCCGUGCGGUUUGCAGGCUGUGGAAAGAGCUGCCUAAAAUGUGGGCGGUCGGGGCUGCUUCAGCCCCGGAGGGGGACUGGGGUCCCAGUAGAUCCAUCUCAGCAAAGGAUGCAGCAUUUACGAAAUGGCAUUGAUCUGGAGAAGGGUGGACCCAGGCAGGAGGCGGCAGGUUUCAGCUGGCUUCUGGCCCCGAGGAAGACAAGAUUCCUGAAACUUGUUGAGGAGUCGGGGUGGGGGUGUGAGUCUCCUCAUCCGUAAAUGGGAGCAGCCACACUCACCCUGCCCCUCUCAGGUGGGAUUCUGAGAACCAAAGUCUUCAAGCCCUUUGUAAAUGGGGCAUGACCCCCUUGGAGUCACUGUGACUACUGUUCAAUCUCGCUCACCUUAGGAAACACCGUGAUUUGCUGAUUAAAAAAAAAAAAGUGAAAACCAGCCUUUCCUCAGAUCCAUCCAGGAAUGUACAGAUAAAGGGACUCCAAAAGCAAUUUAAGGCUUUGAACAUCCUUCUUUUUACAUCACUGGAAAUUCAGUUUUGGAGGGAAUGGGAGAGUCUUUAGAAUGUUCUAAGAAAAA